rnacentral:misc_RNA from 1 species
GAUGAAGAACGUAGCGAAAUGCGAUAAGUAAUGUGAAUUGCAGAAUUCAGUGAAUCAUCGAAUCUUUGAACGCACAUUGCGCCCUUUGGUAUUCCAAAGGGCAUGCCUGUUCGAGCGUCAUUUGUACCCUCAAGCUUUGCUUGGUGUUGGGCGUUUUUUUGUCUUGUUCCAAGACUCGCCUUAAAACGAUUGGCAGCCGGCCUACUGGUUUCGGAGCGCAGCACAUUUUUGCGCUUGCAAUCAGCAAAAGAGGUCGGCAAUCCAUCAAGUCCAUUUCUCACUUUUGACCUCGGAUCAGGUAGGGAUACCCGCUGAACUUAAGCAUAUCAAUAAGCGGAGGA